AUAAAAUUGGUGAAUUUUACCUAUAUUGUUAAUAAAGCGACUUUACCAAUUUAUGGGUAAAUGAACUUACCCAUAUUUGGAUGAAAAAAAAAACAUUUUGUUUUGUUGCUGUCAUAAAAGUGGUUGGUCGCUAAGACAAAAAUAAAUAAAUAUGAAGCUAAAUUGUUUCUAUCGUAAGCUGUUAAUGGUAAGUUAAUAAAAACAAAGUGUUGGUAUCAGCUUCUGCAUCAUCCUACGCAUGGAUGUAGCUGAUUAUCAUAUAUUUAUAAGAUAUUUCUUAUCUAAUAAUAUUUCAUCUCUUCCGCAGCCCGCAAGUACCGAACCAAAAAUGCAAAAACCACGCCUAGUACUAGGGCUGAAGUCACCAUAGUCUCGACCAUAGCUCUAUACUUAGCAAACAGAUUGAGCAACAACCGAUGAGUCAGAUGCCAAUGCAUGGAGGAAUCAUCUCGGGCAUCAUCGGUCAACCUCCGUAAGGACAUGUAAAAUCGUCCUUUUUCAUAUGCUAAAUAUCCGACGGCGUUGAACUCCUGCACUCCCUAGUGGUAGCUAAUCAGAUUGUACCAUCUACCGCUGGAAUCGCCCGUCGACAAGGAAAUAUGGAUAAUCGAUCUGGCCUAAGUUGUCGCCCAUAUGCUGAAUGUCCGGCAACAUAUCAGCGGCCUAGUCAGCGGCAGCAUACCACGCAGCUCCCUUGGAUACUAAGGGACAAGCCAGAGUAAACGCGACGUGCGAUGCGACGCGACGCGACAGUGCAAUUUGACAGCCUGUUGAUAAUGAUUGUUAUUCUUUUACGUGAGUCGCGUCGCGUCGCAUCGCUCGUCGCGUUUACUCUGGCUUGCCCCUAACAGGAACUAAUUAGAUGCGGAGAUGCGGCACCUGAUGCUAGUAGCCCAACGACUGGUAGUGCAUUUCAGAUUUUUCUGCCAGUUACUUCUAAAUUAGCCAUAGUUAGAACGGAUUGUAUCAAUAACUUUGAUGAAUAUUACAAUAAAUUUUAUCUGUAAUUUGUUGAAA